rnacentral:rRNA from 1 species
GAUGAACGCUGGCGGCGUGCCUAAUACAUGCAAGUCGAGCGAACAGACGAGGAGCUUGCUCCUCUGACGUUAGCGGCGGACGGGUGAGUAACACGUGGAUAACCUACCUAUAAGACUGGGAUAACUUCGGGAAACCGGAGCUAAUACCGGAUAAUAUAUUGAACCGCAUGGUUCAAUAGUGAAAGACGGUUUUGCUGUCACUUAUAGAUGGAUCCGCGCCGCAUUAGCUAGUUGGUAAGGUAACGGCUAACCAAGGCAACGAUGCGUAGCCGACCUGAGAGGGUGAUCGGCCACACUGGAACUGAGACACGGUCCAGACUCCUACGGGAGGCAGCAGUAGGGAAUCUUCCGCAAUGGGCGAAAGCCUGACGGAGCAACGCCGCGUGAGUGAUGAAGGUCUUCGGAUCGUAAAACUCUGUUAUUAGGGAAGAACAAAUGUGUAAGUAACUAUGCACGUCUUGACGGUACCUAAUCAGAAAGCCACGGCUAACUACGUG